rfam:Myotis lucifugus cont2.23913, whole genome shotgun sequence.
GGUGGUUCUCAGUGAUGCACUUCGGAAUUGGGCUCCCUCCUCUCUGGUUCCGGGGUGCGUCACCUGAGAACUGUU